AAGCUAUCAGAAUUCAAGAUUGUAAAUCAAGAUCCUCCAGCACUCUCAGACAAACUAGUAAUCAAGAAAAUGGCAGAGGCAGCGACAGAACUUAACUUAUCACACAAGAUGAUGAUCAGCCGAGCUUAUCAUGAUUCUCUAUUCAUGGCCAGGAUAUCUCCGAUGGGUAUGAUAUUCAUCCCGUGCUACAAAGGAUACAGCCAUAAACCUGAAGAAUACUCAUCUCCUGAAGACAUGGCUAAUGGAGUAAAAGUACUCUCCCUCGCUCUGGCUAAGCUCUCUUUAGACUGAUGCAAACCCUUUUCCUCACCCAGAAGCUUUACACAUUCUCUACCUUUUCUUCAGUCUUUGUAUCUUUGACAAUGUAAAGAAAAAUUCAAUAUAUGUUGUGGCUAUCAAGUUAACAAGUUAACAGUCACAGUUUUUUUUAAAAAAACUGUUGUAAUUAUCAAAGUCACAAUAGUAAUUUUGUUUCAUGUAAUUAAUAAAAUAUGUUUUAAAUUAA